AUCUACAGCCAUGCUACCCUGAUCCCAUUUGAUCUUAGGAGCUAAGAAGGAUUGGGCCUGGUUAAUACUUGAAUGGGAGACCAUCUAGGAAGAUCAGGUGCUGUAGGCA
rnacentral:rRNA from 1 species